rnacentral:rRNA from 1 species
AAUUCGAUGAUACGCGAGGAACCUUACCUGGGCUUAAAUGGGAGUGACAGCUGUCGAAAGAUGGUUUUCUUCGGACACUCUUCAAGGUGCUGCAUGGUUGUCGUCAGCUCGUGCCGUGAGGUGUCGGUUAAGUCCCAUAACGAGCGCAACCCUUACCGUUAGUUACCAUCAGGUUAAGCUGGGGACUCUAGCGGGACUGCCACCGUAAGGUGAGAGAAGUGGGGAUGACGUCAAAUCAGCACGGCCCUUAUGUCCAGGGCUACACACGUGUUACAAUGGCCGGUACAAAGGGCAGCUACUUCGCGAGAAGAUGCUAAUCUCGAAAGCCGGUCUCAGUUCGGAUCGAAGUCUGCAACCCGACUUCGUGAAGCUGGAUUCGCUAGUAAUCGCGCAUCAGCCAUGGCGCGGUGAAUACGUUCCCGGGCCUU